rnacentral:rRNA from 1 species
AUGUAUCUGCUAAAUGUGGAUUAUUGCUGCUCAAUUAUAGCACAAAGCAAGUCUAAAGAGAGAGAUCAGAUCAGAUGGGUAAAACAGUAUCCUAGGGGAGGCUCCUUUUUAACCCACCACUACUCCUACCAGCAUUCCUUUUCACUUUUGUUGAGUCAGCCAAGGCAGCCCAGCCAGCCAAUCCUUGCUCAGCCCAGCUCUGCUAAGCUGCCUCCCCAUCCUCCUCCCUCCUCCCUCCUGGAGGAUUCUUCCCCUCCUCCUCCGCCUUUCUCCGCCCAGCAGAGAUUGCAUCCGAUUCCAGUUCCAGACCCAGCUCCAUCCUCCUCCAAACCCUAG